UACGUAGGGGGCGAGCGUUGUCCGGAUUUAUUGGGCGUAAAGAGCUCGUAGGCGGUUGGGUAAGUCGGGUGUGAAAACUCCAGGCUCAACUUGGAGAUGCCACCCGAUACUGCUCUGACUUGAGUUCGGUAGGGGAGUGGGGAAUUCCUGGUGUAGCGGUGAAAUGCGCAGAUAUCAGGAGGAACACCGGUGGCGAAGGCGCCACUCUGGGCCGAAACUGACGCUGAGGAGCGAAAGCGUGGGUAGCAAACAGG
rnacentral:rRNA from 1 species